rnacentral:rRNA from 1 species
GCAGGCGGCCAUCUCACCCUGUAGCCCAAGACUGGUUGCCCACUGAAGCUAAGCAGGGCUGAGCCUGGUCAGUACCUGGAUGGAAGACCUCCUGGGAAAACUAGGUUGCUGCUGGAA